GUGUUAUUUUCUCUCUGUCAUAGCAGAGAGAACACUGGCAUUACUCUGGUAGUUCUGAUCCUGGUGAGCAGAGGUUCACUAGUGUUUAAUUCUAUGUUUCAAGAUUUGAUUCUGAUUUGCUACUCAAAAAUUAAAAGUGGAAUGAGAGUGAAUUUUUCUUUUUAAAAGAUUUAUUUAUUUUAUGUAUGUGUACCUCUCUUCAGACACCAGAAGAGGGCAUUGGAUUCCAUUACAGAUGGUUGUGAGCCACCACGUGGUUGCUGGGCCACGUGGUUGCUGGGAUUUGAAUGCAGGACCUCUGGAAGGGCAGUCAGUGCUCUUGACUGCUGAGCCAUCUCUCUAGCCCAGAAUCUGAGUGAUUUAAAGUGAUGUUUUAACAUUAACUGUAUUAAUGUGUUUAUAUACUUACUCAAAUCAUAUAAUAUUUAAAAAUCUUUGGAAUGGAUUAGUUAAGGUACACUUGAGAAUUCACUUAGUGACCCCAGGUCUUCCAGGCUGUUCUCAAGUUCAUUACUGUCCUGUCUCAGCCUCUCCAGUACUAGGGAUUAUAGGCAUUCACUGCUGGGCACAGCACACUAGCUGGAAAACCCAUUCUUGUGAGAUUAUGAAAUUGAAUAAGAGAAGUGGUAUGAUGCCUAAGGGUAGAGAAGUUGGUUACAGAGCCAGGCAUGAUUGUGUGACCCUUAGUCCUAGUACUUGGGAGUCAGCAGCAGGAGCAUCCAGCCUGGUUUGAAGCUAGUCUGGUCCACAUAGUGAGUUCUAAGACAGCCAGGGCUACUUAGUGAGACCUUGUUAAGGUGCUACAGUCAUCUGAGGGUGAAGUGAUAGAGGCCAUCUAGUGAAUAUACCCGGAACACUGAUAUGAAUGGGAAGAUAGCCAGGGGCCACUUGUUUAGCAAUUGGUUUGAAGGUGCGUAUAUUCCUAAUCCAGCACUUCAGCUCCUGUGUAUUUACUUAGUAAACUUCCAGUGUACAUUAAGGCUCUGUUGUAUAGUAAGAGCACAGAAGAGCUAGGGGUGUAAUUUAGUGGUUGAACUGUCUAGCAUUCAAGAGGCCCUGGGUCGGAGCCUCAGCAUUGAAAAAGGUAAAAAGGGCCUGCUAUGGUAGCACAUGCCUUUAAUCCUACCAUUUGUGGGGCAGAGGAGGUGGAUCUCUCUGAGUUUGAGGCCAGCUUGGUCUAUAUCUCAAGUUCCAGGACAGCCGGGGCUAUGUAUGUAAGACCCUGACUCCAAAAAAAGGAAAAGGAUGGCAAGAGGGGGUUGCUCAGUGUAGAGACUUAGCUAGUAUGUACAAGUCCUGAGUUCAGUCCCCAGCACCAGAAUGAACAAAAAAAGAAAGAAAGCUUUGAAAUAGUCAAAUGCGCCUUAUGUGUAUCUGUGCAAGUGACCUGGUAUUGUGUCUCUCCAAAGAGAAGACUUGGUGGUGUGGACACCUGCGCCAAGCCUGGUGGCCUGUGUUCUAUCCUCAGGACCC
rnacentral:lncRNA from 1 species